rnacentral:ncRNA from 1 species
UUAAUUCAGAGUUUGAUCCUAGCUCAGGGUGAACGCUGGCGGUGUGGAUAAGGCAUGCAAGUCAAGGGGUACUGAGAGCAAUCGAAGUACACCGGCAGACGAGGUAGUAACACGCAGGUACGCACCGAAAAGUCGGGCAUAGCUCGUCGAAAGACGGGGUAAUUUCCGAUAGUCCCGUCACACGAAAAAGCAUCGCGAAGCAUGCGAUUUGUUGAGAUUGUUUUUUUUAAAUCUCACGAUUGCUUGUAUACAAAUUGUAGAACCACAUCAUGUGGCUUCGCAUAAAUCGUUAUACUUUUUCGUGUGACGGGUAAAGCAGCAAUGCGCUUUUUGAGCGGCCUGUGUCGCAUCAGCUAGUUGGUAGGGUAACGGCCUACCAAGGCUAUGACGCGUAGGGGACCUGAGAGGGUGACCCCCACCGAUGGUACUGAGAUACGGACCAUACACCUACGGGUGGCCGCAGUCGAGAAUCUUCCGCAAUGGGCGAAAGCCUGACGGAGCGACGCCGCGUGAUUGAUGAAGUCCUUCGGGACGUAAAGAUCUUUUAUGCGUGAGAAAGUUAUUGAUGUUAGCGCAUGAAUAAGAGGCUCCUAACUCUGUGCCAGCAGGAGCGGUAAUACAGAGGCCUCAAGCGUUACCCGGAAUUACUGGGCGUAAAGGGUGUGUAGGCGGUUUUGUUAGUCUCUCGUGAAAGGUCUCGGGCUUAACCCGGGAACCGCGGGGGAAACGGCAAAACUUCGAGGAUGCGAGAGGUAGAGGGAACUCACAGUGUAGGGGUGAAAUCCGUUGAUAUUGUGGGGAACACCAAAAGCGAAAGCACUCUACUGGCGCACUCCUGACGCUGAAACACGAAAGCGUGGGUAGCGAACGGGAUUAGAUACCCCGGUAGUCCACGCCCUAAACGAUCACAACUGGCUUUGGGGAGUAUCGACCCUCUCCGAGGCGAAGCUAACGCGUUAAGUUGUGCGCCUGGGUAGUACGAUCGCAAGAUUAAAACUCAAAGGAAUAGACGGGGACUUGCACAAGCGGUGGAU